CAGUGCUCUAAAAACCCAAAACCCUCCUUCCUGCACCAAGACUUAAGCCAUGCAUUGACCUCUCUAAUCUCCCGCUGCCUUUCCACUGUAGCGCGUGGCACAGGUAAUAUCUCAGAGAAUAUCACCUUGAAGGUCCUUUUCUUAAGUUUGCUACCUAAUUCCCUGAAAUCAUUCUUUAGGACCUUCCAUCUUCCUCUUACUUUAUCAUUGGUACAAACAUGGACCAUGACCGCGGGGUCAUCCCCAGCCCCUCCCAAUAAUCCAUCCACUCUGUCAGCAACAUGCCGGACCCGAGCAGCCGGGAGACAGCAAACUGUCCGG